UUUUGAUUGCCGUUGUUGUUAUA
rnacentral:piRNA from 1 species